rfam:Candidatus Thiomargarita nelsonii contig_148, whole genome shotgun sequence.
GUAAACAACCCCUAAGCCCUUCGGGACUUAGGGGCUUUUAAGGAAACUUAAAAGCCCAUGUUUACCAGACAACUAAUAGGAGUGCCGAAAAUUAGUAGCCGAUAUAGCAGAAAUAGGUACGUUGAGAUGCCGUCUCAGUCUCAACCACUACGGUUAUGCAUUAAACAGUCCUGUGAGGUAGGGACAGUGUGUAUAGCGCUAAACCUGCCAAUAUCUUGUCGAGAGAAAGUCGGA